rnacentral:rRNA from 1 species
UACGGAGGGGGCUAGCGUUGUUCGGAAUUACUGGGCGUAAAGGGCUCGUAGGCGGCCAACUAAGUCGGACGUGAAAUCCCUCAGCUUAACUGGGGAACUGCGUCCGAUACUGGAUGGCUUGGAUUUGGGAGAGGGAUGCGGAAUUCCAGGUGUAGCGGUGAAAUGCGUAGAUAUCAUUUGGAACGCCAAUGGUGAAAACAGGUAGCUGGGGCUGUGCUGACGCUGAGACACGAAAGCCAGGGGAGCAAACGGG